rnacentral:tRNA from 1 species
CGUGGCGCGGGCCGGAGAUCCAGCCCGUGCCGGUGCCGCGCGAGAUGAGGGCGUGCAUCGAGUACGACGGCUCGAAGCCGAUCGCCGUGC